rnacentral:rRNA from 1 species
CCUACGGGAGGCAGCAGUGGGGAAUAUUGCACAAUGGGGGGAACCCUGAUGCAGCAACGCCGCGUGGGUGAAGACGUACUUCGGUAUGUAAAGCCCUGUCAGCAGAGAAGAAAAUGAAGGUACCUGACCAAUAAGCCCCGGCUAGCUACGUGCCAGCAGCCGCGGUAAUACGGAGGGGGCAAGCGUGAUCCGGAUUUACUGGGUGUAAAGGGAGCGUAGACGGCAAGGCAAGUCUGGAGUGAAAGCCCGUGGCUCAACCACGGGACUGCUUUGGAAACGGUGUUGCUGGAGUGCAGGAGGGGUAAGCGGAAUUCCUAGUGUAGCGGUGAAAUGCGUAGAUAUUAGGAGGAACACCGGUGGCGAAGGCGGCUUACUGGACUGUAACUGACGUUGAGGCUCGAAGGCGUGGGGAGCAAACAGGAUUAGAUACCCUUGUAGUC